rnacentral:rRNA from 1 species
AUUGAACGCUGGCGGCAGGCCUAACACAUGCAAGUCGAACGGUAACAGGAAGCAGCUUGCUGCUUUGCUGACGAGUGGCGGACGGGUGAGUAAUGUCUGGGAAACUGCCUGAUGGAGGGGGGUAACUACUGGAAACGGUAGCUAAUACCGCAUAACGUCGCAAGACCAAAGAGGGGGACCUUCGGGCCUCUUGCCAUCGGAUGUGCCCAGAUGGGAUUAGCUAGUAGGUGGGGUAACGGCUCACCUAGGCGACGAUCCCUAGCUGGUCUGAGAGGAUGACCAGCCACACUGGAACUGAGACACGGUCCAGACUCCUACGGGAGGCAGCAGUGGGGAAUAUUGCACAAUGGGCGCAAGCCUGAUGCAGCCAUGCCGCGUGUAUGAAGAAGGCCUUCGGGUUGUAAAGUACUUUCAGCGGGGAGGAAGGGAGUAAAGUUAAUACCUUUGCUCAUUGACGUUACCCGCAGAAGAAGCACCGGCUAACUCCGUG